rnacentral:rRNA from 1 species
UUACGGGAGGCAGCAGUGGGGAAUUUUGGACAAUGGGGGCAACCCUGAUCCAGCAAUGCCGCGUGAGUGAAGAAGGCCUUCGGAUUGUAAAGCUCUUUUGUCAGGGAAGAAACAGCAGCUCUAACACAGUCUGCGAAUGACGGUACCUGAAGAAUAAGCACCGGCUAACUACGUGCCAGCAGCCGCGGUAAUA